UACGGGGGGAGCAAGCGUUGUUCGGAUUUACUGGGCGUAAAGGGCGCGUAGGCGGCGUGACAAGUCACUUGUGAAAUCUCCGGGCUUAACUCGGAACGGUCAAGUGAUACUGUCGUGCUAGAGUGCGGAAGGGGCAACUGGAAUUCUUGGUGUAGCGGUGAAAUGCGUAGAUAUCAAGAGGAACACCAGUGGCGAAGGCGGUGCUCUGGGCCGGAACUGACGCUGAGGAGCGAAAGCGUGGGGAGCAAACAGG
rnacentral:rRNA from 1 species